AUUCCUGUAGUUAAAUUUCGUAACGGCAGCUUUUCAGGCUGUAGAUCUUGGAGAAAGGCCGAGCGGGAAU
rnacentral:tRNA from 1 species